rnacentral:rRNA from 1 species
CCUCUUUUCUCAAGGAAGAAGUUCUGACGUGUACUUGAGGAAUAAGCAUCGGCUAACCCUGUGCCAGCAGCCGCGGUAAUACAGGGGAUGCAAGUGUUAUCCGGAUUUAUUGGGCGUAAAGAGUCUGUAGGUUGAUAUUUUAAGUCUUUUGUUAAAGCUUUAGGCUUAACCUAAAAAGUGCAAAAGAUACUAAAUAUCUAGAGUAUAGUCGAGGUAAAGGGAAUUUUCAGUGGAGCGAUAAAAUGUGUAGAUAUUGAAAGGAACACCAUAAGCGAAGGCGCUUUACUAGAUUAUUCUGACACUGAGAGACGAAAGCUAGGGGAGCGAGCGGGAUUAGAUACCCCGGUAGUCCUAGCUGUAAACGAUGGAUACU